GGGGACAUGGCUCAGUAGUAGGGCAUCUGCUUAGCAUGCAGGUGGACCCAGGUUCAAUCCCUGGUAUCUCCA